rnacentral:rRNA from 1 species
UACGGAGGGGGCUAGCGUUGUCCGAAGUUACUGGGCGUAAAGCGCGCGUAGGCGGGUUGGUAAGUCCGCUGUGAAAGCCCGGAGCUCAACUCCGGAGGGUCGGUGGAUACUGCCAGUCUUGAAGGUGCUAGGGGGAGAUGGAAUUACCGGUGUAGCGGUGAAAUGCGCAGAUAUCGGGAAGAACGCCCGUGGCGAAGGCGGCACUCUGGGACGGUACUGACGCUGAGACGCGAAAGCGUGGGGAGCGAACAGG